AUUGAACGCUGGCGGCAGGCCUAACACAUGCAAGUCGAGCGGAUGAAGGGAGCUUGCUCCUGGAUUCAGCGGCGGACGGGUGAGUAAUGCCUAGGAAUCUGCCUGGUAGUGGGGGAUAACGUCCGGAAACGGGCGCUAAUACCGCAUACGUCCUGAGGGAGAAAGUGGGGGAUCUUCGGACCUCACGCUAUCAGAUGAGCCUAGGUCGGAUUAGCUAGUUGGUGGGGUAAAGGCCUACCCAGGCGACGAUCCGUAACUGGUCUGAGAGGAUGAUCAGUCACACUGGAACUGAGACACGGUCCAGACUCCUAAGGGAGGCAGCAGUGGGGAAUAUUGGACAAUGGGCGAAAGCCUGAUACAGCCAUGCCGCGUGUGUGAAGAAGGUCUUCGGAUUGUAAAGCACUUUAAGUUGGGAGGAAGGGCAGUAAGUUAAUAACUUGCUGUUUUGACGCUACCAACAGAAUAAGCACCGGCUAACUUCGUG
rnacentral:rRNA from 1 species